GCUUGCAGUGGAUAUUGGCUCUCUGUUGCUUGGAAGAGCAUUGUGCUUUCCUGUGCAUGAACUUAUAUGUAAUGCCAACAAGUGGUCUGCUACAGCUCUGAGACAACAGCCUCAAUGUGUACAGCAGGCAUCUACCUGGCACAUCUCUCAGUUGCCCUGAACUCCUUCUCCGGGAUUACGGCCAUGAAACAGUCUCUGGAGCUGUAAACCUGCGUGCUGACGCAUGGAUGAUGACGCACUGUGCUGCAUCCAGAAGCCUCCUGGCAUGUCACCAGCCCCAGGCCUCUCUGUCUGGUUUGUCCGUCCCAGGAAAGAUCAGAAGAACCUAAGCCUGGUUUCCUAUGAGCUAGAGGUGAGAUCGUCCCUGGCACGAACACCAGAGUGGAGAUCUGCCUUUCUCAAAGCCACAGGCUCCCAGCCCUGCUCCAGGCUGGCUGGCCCAGGAAAGCUGCUCUUUCAAUCUCCUGUCUCCCCAGUGCAUCCUAUCCUGAGCAGGAGGCUGGGGCACCCACUCCAUGUUCCCUCCAGGGCCAGCAGCUGAAGGUAGGAGGUCCGUGUCACCCCAGGUCCUGAUCAACAACGACAAGG